rnacentral:lncRNA from 1 species
AACAAUUCAUAGACACUUUGAGGACCACUGCUUGGACUUGCUCUGGUCAUCUGUAUACCCUUUCCCUCUUGUUUUCCUCUAUUCAUUUUUCUCCCUUGAACUCCUUAUCUCUCUAAUCCCUCCUCCUGAAUGCUCUUAUUUUAUCUCUCCCUCCACUUUUAUCUUUUCCUCCAGGUCGCCUGAGUCUAUCUUCUCCCCAAGUCAGGCUCCCCAGGCUUUCUUGGCCCCCUGACCCCUCCUUCCUCUCCCAGGACUGUAUUUCCCCUGCCUCUCACUUGCCUCCCAGCAACCUAAGCAGAACAAUACUGGAAGUGGAACUGGCACUCUGACAAAAAGGAGAGCAAUUGGAAAGAAAACUUUACUCAUCAAGAAAGAGGGCUUAAUACUGAUGAAACAAAACCGAGGGCUGCUGUUUUUCUCUGAGCCUCUUCCCAAGCCUCUGCUCCAGCAAGACCAAAUUUAUCCCCACUGUGGUGCUCUGGCAGGUCAGAAGACUGGAGAGAGAGGUAAGUGAAGGAUACAACUAGAUGUUUCAUGUUGGUCCACUUAGCUCUCAUGACAGUGGGACAAAAUCCAGGCCCUCUCUGUGCUUGUUGGCAGAUGAACAAACUAGAGGGAAGGCCUCUCUGAGGAGGUCUGGGGACUCUAGCAGGGAAUAACUGGAAUAGGUGGGAGUAAGCUUGCUUGAAGCUCUUGUACGCGGUUACAAAGUGGGACUGUGACGCUCAUGAGGUGAAACUCUUGGUCUAAGCUCUCAGAUCUAAUGCGAGAGUUUCAGCUUUAUCAUUUUCUUUGUCUCUCUAGGCCCUUUGUCUUAGCAAAUGGUUCUUAUUAAAAACUGAGUAUCUAA